rnacentral:lncRNA from 1 species
GCGGAGGAGCCUGGACUGCCCAGGGUGUACGGGGGAGGGGGCGGGGCUAGACGCGGCUCUGACAACCAUUACAGCGCCUCGGGCUGGCGCGGCUCACAGACUACAUAUCCCAGAGAGCGCUGCGGCGCGGCCGGAAGAAGAGCGUGCGAGACCAGUGCGCAGGCGCGCGAGCCGACUCGGAUUAUAUAAGAGAAGU